rnacentral:rRNA from 1 species
CAGAGACUGCAAGCGUUAUUCGGAUUCACUGGGCGUAAAGGGUGCGCAGGCGGUUGGGUGUGUCAGAUGUGAAAUCCCGAGGCUUAACCUCGGAACUGCGUCUGAAACUACUCGACCAGAGUACUGGAGAGGGAAACGGAAUUCACGGUGUAGCGGUGAAAUGCGUAGAUAUCGUGAGGAACACCAGAGGCGAAGGCGGUUUCCUGGACAGUUACUGACGCUCAGGCACGAAAGCAUGGGGAGCAAAAGGGAUUAGAUACCCCUGUAGUCCAUGCCCUAAACGGUGCACACUAGGUCUUAGCGGAUUCGACCCCACUAGGGCCCAAGCUAACGCGUUAAGUGUGCCGCCUGAGGACUACGGUCGCAAGACUA